rnacentral:rRNA from 1 species
UAACAGGGAAUGACCCACCCCUUAGGUUGGGUUAACCAGGGAAACUGGAGGUUAUUCCGGGUUACGUGAUGGGACCCCAGGUUCAACAGUGAAAGGGGGUCUUGGUGUCACCCAUAGAUGGAUCCGCGCCGCAUUAGCUAGUUGGUGGGGUAACGGCCCACCAAGGCAACGAUGCAUAGCCGACCUGAGAGGGUGAUCGGCCACACUGGAACUGAGACACGGUCCAGACUCCUACGGGAGGCAGCAGUAGGGAAUCUUCCACAAUGGACGAAAGCCUGACGGAGCAACGCCGCGUGAACGAUGAAGGUCUUCGGGUCGUAAAAUUCUGUUUAAGGGAAGAACAAAGCCUCAGG